GUUGGGAACUAGAUGUAGGGGCCAUUCCACGGUUUCUGUGUCGCAGCUAACGCAUUAAGUUCCCCGCCUGGGGAGUACGGCCGCAAGGCUAAAACUCAAAGGAAUUGACGGGGGCCCGCACAAGCGGCGGAGCAUGCGGAUUAAUUCGAUGCAACGCGAAGAACCUUACCAAGGCUUGACAUACACCAGUAACGGCUAGAAAUAGUCGCCCCGCAAGGUUGGUGUACAGGUGGUGCAUGGCUGUCGUCAG
rnacentral:rRNA from 1 species